UACGUAGGCAGCGAGCGUUGUUCGGAGUUACUGGGCGUAAAGAGUGCGUAGGCGGCUUUCUAAGUUUGGUGUGAAAUCUCCCGGCUUAACCGGGAGGGUGGCAUUGAUACUGUAGGGCUUGAGUAAAGUUGAGGUUGGCGGAAUUGACGGUGUAGCGGUGAAAUGCUUAGAUAUCGUCAAGAACACCUAUUGCGAAGGCAGCUAACUAAGCUUUAACUGACGCUGAGGCACGAAAGUGUGGGGAUCAAACAGG
rnacentral:rRNA from 1 species